UUCUUGCUUCAAUCACGCCCUCUAUUUUUUUUUUUUUUUUUUUUUACACUUUACUAGUACUCCCCCACCUCGUGAUGAUGAUAGAAGUAGGGGG
rnacentral:ribozyme from 1 species